CCCAAUUUGAUUAUUAACAUAGGUGAGAGUUAACCCACUAUGACUUUGCCCAUUGUUUAGAAAGAAUAUUCAUAGUUUAAUUAUGACAUUUUUGAUGAGACACAGUGGCUCACACCUGUAAUCCCAGCACUUUGGGAGGCCAAGGCAGGCAGAUCAUCUGAGGCCAGGAGUUCAAGACCAGCCUGACCAACAUAGUGAAGCCCCCUUUCUACUAAAAAUACAAAAAUUAGCUAGGUAUGGUGGCACACGCCUGUAAUCUCAGCUACCCAGGAGGCUGAGGCAGGGGAAUUGCUUGAACCUGGGAGGUGGAGGCUGCAGUGAGCCAAGAUCAUGCCACUGAACUCCAGCCUGAGUGACAGAGUGAGACUGCAUCUAAAAAAUAAAAUUAUGCCUUUUUGUAGCACAUAUAUUUUGUAACAUACAACUGAAGCCAGUAUUAUAUUAUUAGUUUUCAUUUAAUGUUUUCAGCCCAUCUCCCCUGAUAUUUCUGGGAGACAGGAAAUAUGUUUU
rnacentral:lncRNA from 1 species